rnacentral:lncRNA from 1 species
UGCAACCAAUAUUAAACUACAAUAAGGUCUACAUCUGAUAUGAAUAUAUUAACAAAGACAAAUGAAGCAGGUAGAUACAACACAAAUGACAGAAUCUAUUGAGUUUGGCAUGAUUAAAUUAGUACAAAUAUGUCAUGAUAAUUAAUUAAAUAAAUAAACUGGUGAGGAUUCCUGGAACAUAAAGCAAAGCAACAUAAACAAUUGAAAUUACACAAGGCAGUAAAAAUAAAGUGCUUACAGUAACAGAUAUUGAUAUGAACUGGUAAUUUAGUACUUGGGGGUUCCGGUACAGCUCUAAAGAAUUCAUUUGCUUCAUCGAUCCAUUAAUGAUCCAACUCUUACCCUCGCAGAAACGUCGACGUCUUGAAUUCCAAUUUUUUAAAAUGAUAAACAUGAAAUUGGGAGUGUCAUUAGGACAUAUCCCCGGUUCACAUUUAAAGUUACAGCAGGUACUAAUAUUUUUCCGAUAAUCAUUCGUUGAUACUCUUUUCUUGUUCCAUAAUAUGCUGAAAAUGCGACCUCUCGCUUGCAAUUUUCACUUCACUCAGCUGCUUGCGCGCUUUUAA